rnacentral:rRNA from 1 species
UACGUAGAAGACUAGUGUUAUUCAUCUUUAGUGGGUUUAAAGGGUACCUAGACGGUAUAAUUAGUCUUUAAUAGGAAACGGUUAUACUAGAGUUAUAUAUGAGGAGGUGAGUAUUUGUGGAGUAGAGUUGAAAUUCUUUGAUACCAUGACGACUGGUAAAGGCGAAAGCAACCUUUUAUCUAAUAACUGACGUUGAGGGACGAAGGCUCGGGUCGCGAACAGG